AUUGAACGCUGGCGGCAUGCCUUACACAUGCAAGUCGAACGGUAACAGGUUAAGCUGACGAGUGGCGAACGGGUGAGUAAUACAUCGGAACGUGCCCAGUAGUGGGGGAUAGCCCGGCGAAAGCCGGAUUAAUACCGCAUACGACCUAAGGGUGUAUGGUGGGGAUCGCAAGACCUCUCGCUAUUGGAGCGGCCGAUGUCCGAUUAGCUAGUUGGUGGGGUAAAAGCUCACCAAGGCGACGAUCUGUAGCUGGUCUGAGAGGACGACCAGCCACACUGGGACUGAGACACGGCCCAGACUCCUACGGGAGGCAGCAGUGGGGAAUUUUGGACAAUGGGCGCAAGCCUGAUCCAGCCAUGCCGCGUGCGGGAAGAAGGCCUUCGGGUUGUAAACCGCUUUUGUCAGGGAAGAAAUCCUUUGGGUUAAUACCUCGGGGGGAUGACGGUACCUGAAGAAUAAGCACCGGCUAACUACGUG
rnacentral:rRNA from 1 species